rnacentral:lncRNA from 1 species
AUCUUUAUAUAUGAAUGUUUUUACUUGUUGAUUAGGGCUCGUGAGGAAGAGGCACUAUAGAGGGGUAAGACAACGACCAUGGGGAAAGUGGGCAGCUGAAAUUCGUGAUCCGCAAAAGGCAGCACGGGUGUGGCUCGGGACAUUUGAGACUGCUGAAGCUGCGGCUUUAGCUUAUGAUGAAGCAGCUCUUAAGUUCAAAGGAAGCAAAGCCAAACUCAAUUUCCCUGAGAGAGCUCAACUAGCAAGUAACACUAAUUCUAUUACCGGUCCACCAAACUAUUACUCUUCUAAUAAUCAAAUUUACUACUCAAAUCCGCAGACUAAUCCGCAAACCAUACCAUAUUAUAACCAAUACUACUACAACCAAUAUCUUCUUCAAGGAGGAAAUAGUAACGAUGCAGUCAGCUAUAGCUUGGCCGGUGGGGAAACUGGAGGCUCAAUGUAUAAUCAUCAGACGUUAUCUACUACAAAUUCUUCAUCUACUGUUGGAUCUUCAAGGCAACAAGAUGAACAAGAUUACGCCAAAUAUAUGCGUUUUGGGGAUUCUUCAUCUCCUAAUUCUGGUUUUUGAGAUACUCAAUAAACUGGUAAUAAGGGAUUUGGGCACUUGUUAUGAGGGGAUCAUAUGUUUCUUGAGUUUUUUUUUUUGUAUUUUCAUUAUGCGUGUGUUGUUUGUGAUCACUUUGUUUAUUUCUUCUUUCAAGAGUUUUCAUGGGUUCUUUGUUUACAACCCUUGCAUUUGGAUUUAUUUAAGUUUUUUUUUUUUUUUUUUUUUGGUGGGGUAUGUCGUUUUGUAUUAAAGAAGAAAUCAUCUAUACACAAGAGUGUUACCCUUUAAAUUUAUUGGAGUUUCCUCAAGCAAACCCACAUGUACACACAUAAAAUUAUAGCAUUAACUGCUAAAAUUCCGGGUUGCAUUGUUUAUGUGACCAUUAUAUUGCCAACGCAGAUAUAACAAAUCAAAGCUUUUUAUAUAUUUGCCUUCAUUGAAUGAAAAUACAUGUUACCGUGUAUCUUACAAGACAUAAGGCAAAGUAGCAUACCUACAUGACGGUACUAGCUAGUAUAAGAUUGAACAUUUUGUUGAGAGUCGUUUAGAUUUAAUAUUUUUCGUCCCAUUUUCUUGGACUAAUUAAGAUGACAGCCAUGAUUUUUAUGACCAGAAUUUAGCCUUUCCCCCGCAUGCAUUAUAUUUGUUUAUUGAGUUUGAAGAAAAAAACAUCAAAUACAUGUAUACGUUUGAUGCAAUUUUCGCAUAAAGUUUUUUUUUUUAAUUUUAAAUUUUAAUAUAAUAUAUAUAAGUAAUGUGAAUUAACAAAUUCAUUUAUAUCAGUUUGGUUUUUGAGUAAUCAUAGAUCAAGUUUACACAAUUACAAUUUCCUUUCCACUUUUAUUGGACUGUUUUGUGGGAUCUUCAGUCAGUUUGAAUUCACAAAAUUACUACGUACGUGUAAUAGUUUAUGGCCUGGUUAUUCGAAAACUUUAUUCAACAUUACUACGUAGACUUUAGUUAGAAUUAAUGUCGUAUUAGUUUUACGGCUGUUGACAAAAAAGGGUGUAUCUUGAUAAUAUUAACAAGAAUUAUUGAAGUAAUAUUCGUUAUACUCAGGGUUUCAAAAGUAGUUUGUUUAAUAUUAAAUCCUGUAUAACGAGACUUUUACAAGCAAUUUUCUAGUUCUUAAAGAUAGAGAUACUGGCCUUAGAAGUAACAACUAACAAGUAUGAAAACUUGACCAGAACAGAUUCCCCGAGCGUUUGUUUCAAAUCCUUGACUUUUGUCAAUCCAAAGAGAUUGACUCCUUUUGACCCAUGUUUUUUUAUUUAAUUUUUCAGUUUAUAAUAUUUAUUAAACCAUUCCUAACAUAUAUAUGUCAUUUUCAAUAUAUAAUGAUAUAGGAAAUGACGUUAAAAAUAUAUAUAUAGAAAUGUGUCACAGAUUCUUAAAUGUACAUACAUAUGAUUAAUACUUAAAUUUAGAAGAGAAUUAGAAUUCAAGUAGUGUUUAAUGUUAAUGUUUUUUUUUUUUUUUGAAAAAGGCUUGUUAAUGUUAAUGUUGUCAUUGUGUCACAAUUCUAUUUCAAUCCUAUAAAUUGUAUGAUGGUGAAAAACCUAAAUUUAGAGAGCAUCAACAACUAGAGUUAGAUUCAAUGUACUUAUAUGGGAUUCAGAAAUGAAAAAAUCAUUUCAUUUUGAAAUUGAAAGACUCAUUUUUCUUAUCAUCAUAUCAAGUGAAAUGAUGGUUACGAUGAUAAUGAAUAUCGUUAUUAUUAAAUACUUUCCGACCAACGCGUUAUCUCCUCUUUGUUUGUCUUCUCUUAUACAGUUAUACUUAAUAGUUUUUUCGUCUUUUAUGCUCGUUUCUUCAUUUUUUACAUGCGUGUUAGAUCAUUAGCGUAAAUGGUUAGUGCUUAAAACUUAUUGGUAUGCGAAUCUCGGCCGCCGACAAAUAUUUGUACUUCAACUUCAAGACAUUCGUGGAACUUCAAAAGCAAUCUUUCGUUUUUUCAACAAACAAAAAAACCUUUGCAUUCGUUUCGUGAAUGAGGCGCGUGUAUGACACCUCUAUGACUAUAGUCUAUAGCGAAGCUACACAGGUCUAUUAACCUUGUUUUUCUUAAUAAAAUUUCCCGAUAUAUUAAUAUAUAUUAACAAAUCGUUAAAUUUAAAAAUUUUAAUCAACAGUGAAAGAUGAAUAUUAGCCUGAAUAUGUUAACGGAUCAACUAAUUAAUUAGCUAGGCAUAUGAACUGUGGGAUCGCCUCUGGGCGGUUUAGAUAAAGUAGUAUUUGUCGGGAAAACAGUGACCGAUUGCUACACAAUUUUCAAAUGUAAAGACGAAAAAGUUCCACUAUGUUACAAACACGAGUCACAAAUAUUUAGAAAAGAGUUAUUUUAUACAAAUUAAGACAGCCAGAUUAUCAUUAUGUUUUUUAACGAAUUGUUAUAGAAAAAAUUAAACAACUUUUGUAGAAGUUCAUGUUCUUUUAACAUGGUACGUUACAUUAUUCCAAAUAUUCAAAAGUCUUUAAUUUGAUAUUUCAUAUUUAUAUUUACGAUUACGAAUAUCGACCGUUGAUAAGAAAACAGUUUAAAUAACAAAACACAAAUACAGCUACUAUAUAAAAUUUAUCCCGACAAAAAGAAUAUAUGGUUAAAGAGAAUCAACAAAUUACAUCGUUGACAAAUGAAGGGAAUUUGGGGAUGGCCACACCCGCACGCAUGCCGGCCUCACCGCCCUGUCAACCUUUGCGGCCUUCUAAGCAAACUCUCGCAAAUCUCAACCACUGCCUUUUCUCCUAUUUCAAACUUAUCGGCCCAAAGACGUAUAUGAAUACGUGCAUGCAUACCAUAUGUAUACACUACUAUUAAAUAAUUUAAAAGACGUAUGUAUGUACGUACACGUCCAGAGGGAUGUUCAAAUUGCACCGAUUCAUGCACUCCUCAUUUUGUAAAUAACGCAGCCCACUUCUCGUUCACAAAUAGUCUGGCCCAUUUUACAAUCAUCCAAAGCGAGGUUUACUCAAGUUGAUUUGCUAAAUACCAAAGAUUCAAAAAUGUUUAAGCCACGUUUUACAUUAUAUUUGUUAAUCUUUUUAGUUCUUCAAGGCGACGAUUGUUGAAAUUCGUCGGUGAAAGCAUAAGCAUAUAAGCAUGCAUGUACUUUGUGUUAAAAUAUUUUUUGAUGGAGGAGACGUUUCUGUUCCAAAAAUGUCUGAGUUGAUAAAAGUGAAAAGAAACAUGGAUAGAAUCAGAAUCUUUUGUUUUGUAAAAUGUAAAGAGGAUCUUAUAAUAUGUAGAAUCAGAAUCUAUUGCUUUCGUACGGAAAAAACGGCAUCUUCUUCUGCUAUGUAAGUCAGAUUCUUUUGAGAUUUCACAUUUGAAACACAGCAUAGAGCGACAAGAAACUACAAAAUUGUAAAGGAAUGGCAAAAAAAAAAAAAAAAAGUCCGACCUGCCGGAUUCGAACCAGCGACCUAAAGAUUUGCUGUCACAGACUACAGUCUUCCGCUCUACCAACUGAGCUAAGGUCGGUUGUUGAAAAUGUGUACAAAUUAUUAUUAAUUAACUAAGUAAUAAGGUAGUCAUGUCCUCAUAUUUUCAAACCGGAGACAGAACCGGCAAGAAGAUAUCACUACCAAAUUAUAUAUCAAUCACCUAACUAAACAAUGGCUAACAAAUUAUUUAAAUUAAAGUUUUUUGUAUCUCUCUAUGGAAGUUUUUAAUACGGUCAAACGCACUUCUUAUCAAGCACAUUUGACCAUUUCGGUUUGGUUCAAACCGGAAACGCACGGUUUUCAAUUAGACAGAUUCGCACGUGUCGUGUGGGAAUAGCACGUGGAGAAUAGCAAAAGGUCAGGCGAGGGAAGAUAGAGAGAUAUGUUACCGUCACUUGCGGUUGACAGAUGACGGAGCCGGAUUUUGCUUCACCGGCCAUCAUCCAUCGUUUAUAGCCACUGAGCCUCACACACACAUUAACCCUUUUCGUUUCUGACUCCAAAGUGAAGUAAAUUUCCAAACUUUGAACUUUUGGAGAUUGUGUUUCGUCUUCGACGUGAAGACUCUUUCGUUGCUCUUGUGUUGUGAGCAGGUCUUCUUUCUCAAAACCCAGGACUCACUCUCUGUAUAAGAAGAUGAAUGAUCCUUAGAAUCAUUCAAAUCUAUUGUAAAGCAUUCUAAUUGGGGCAAUAUCGAUUGAUCGCGAAUCAGCAAUGGAAUCAUCGAAGCCCAAAAACCGUAAUCCGAUGAAGAAACCUGUAUCCGUCACGAUGGAGCAUGUUCUAUUGGCGUUACGUGAGACUAGGGAUGAGAGAGAGAUCAGGAUUCGUAGUUUGUUUGAUUUCUUCGAUAAUUCGAAUUUAGGGUUCUUAGAUUAUGCCCAGAUCGAAAAGGGUCUUGCUUCGCUUCAGAUUCCUCCUGAGUACAAGUACGCUAGAGAUUUGUUUAGAGUCUGCGACGCCAAUCGCGAUGGGCGUGUGGAUUACCAGGAGUUUCGUCGAUACAUUGAUGCUAAGGAGCUUGAGCUGUAUAGGAUUUUCCAAGCCAUUGAUGUUGAGCACAAUGGCUGCAUUUUGCCUGAGGAGCUCUGGGAGGCUCUUGUUAAGGCCGGUAUGUGAUUCUGUUACUGUUCCAUUUCUACUGUUACUUUUUUCUUUUGAUUAUAAUGUAAAUUUUGUACCUUUAUGAGAUUUGUGGAUUUUGAUUGUUUGUGGUGAAUUUGCUAUAAUAGAAUUGUGUUGAUGCUACAACGUGUUCUUGGUUAAUCGGUCUUGUAGUCAGCUCUUGCAGUAACUUUUUAUGUUGUCUUAUUUGAUUGUUGAGUAUCACCAACCUAUAUAAGCCGCACAGUUAUGUUCUUGUAGGCAUUGAGAUCGAUGAUGAGGAACUCGCUCGUUUUGUGGAGCAUGUUGAUAAGGACAAUAAUGGGACUAUAACGUUUGAAGAAUGGAGAGAUUUCCUUUUGUUAUACCCUCAUGAAGCCACUAUUGAAAACAUUUAUCAUCACUGGGAAAGGGUGUGCUUGAUAGACAUUGGGGAGCAAGCUGUUAUACCGGAUGGUAUAAGCAAACAUGUGAAAAGAAGCAGAUUACUUCUCGCUGGAGGACUAGCCGGAGCUGUUUCUAGAACUGCAACCGCACCUCUUGAUCGUCUGAAGGUUGUUUUGCAAGUUCAAAGGGCACACGCAGGGGUCCUCCCGACUAUUAAGAAGAUAUGGAGAGAAGAUAAGUUGAUGGGUUUCUUUAGAGGUAAUGGGUUAAAUGUCAUGAAGGUUGCUCCUGAAAGCGCCAUUAAAUUUUGUGCUUACGAAAUGCUAAAACCCAUGAUUGGAGGGGAGGAUGGUGAUAUUGGUACAAGUGGGAGGCUUUUGGCAGGUGGAAUGGCUGGUGCAUUGGCUCAAACCGCUAUUUACCCUAUGGAUCUCGUGAAGACUCGGUUACAGACUUGUGUAAGUGAAGGUGGAAAGGCACCGAAGUUGUGGAAGCUCACAAAAGAUAUAUGGGUACGAGAGGGACCUCGGGCGUUCUACAAGGGUCUCUUUCCUUCUCUUCUUGGGAUUAUUCCUUAUGCAGGAAUUGACCUCGCUGCAUAUGAAACGCUAAAAGACUUGUCCAGAACAUAUAUUCUUCAGGACACUGGUUAGAGCACUAAAGCCGUAGAUCCUUAUUCUUAGUUGCAUAUGAUUGUUCUAUGAUUUAUACUAAAACAGCUCAAACUUCUUCAGAGCCGGGUCCUCUGAUACAGCUCAGCUGUGGAAUGACAUCAGGAGCUCUUGGAGCAUCAUGUGUUUACCCGUUACAGGUAGUAAGAACAAGGUAAAAACCCGAAAAUCCGAAAACUUGUUACAGAUUUUUUUUAUAUCUUGCCUGUGAUUGUAAAAAAAGUUUGAUCCUUGUCGUGUCAGAAUGCAAGCGGAUAGUUCAGAUACGACAAUGAAGCAAGAGUUUAUGAAAACGAUGAAAGGCGAAGGUCUGAGAGGUUUCUACAGAGGACUCUUACCCAAUCUUCUCAAAGUAGUUCCAGCGGCAAGCAUCACGUACAUUGUUUAUGAAGCUAUGAAGAAAAAUAUGGCUCUUGAUUAGCCAAUACGGUCUUGAAAUUUUCUCCGGGUUAGUUUAUUCUUUUUUGUUCCCAAGGGGUCACUCUAGGAGAUUAUGUGAGAAAAACAAAAACAAGACGAGAUUGUAACAUGUCUUCGGGUCGUUUGAUGUGUUCAAGACUCAAGUCUGUAAAACUCACAUCUCCAAAAAAGAUUUUGAAUGGUUAAUGAACUCACAGUUCCCUCAUUAAUCUUAUUAUUUAUUACCAAGGGAAAUUGAUAAAUCAAUAUCUCCUUCGGACAGAUUAAGUAAUUAAAUAAAUAAAUAAACUACUAGUAAUUAGUUAACUUUAUAAAAAUAGAAAAUAUUAGAUAGUUGGUUCAUUCGAAGAGAUGUGAAAUGGUUCGGGUGGUAAUAAUGAUCCAAGAUUUAAGGAUUCCUGGAGCUGCUAAGUCUUAAUCUUUGCGCUCUACUCAGAAAAUUGCUGCAACAAAACAUGGAGGCAAGACACAUGAACUCGAGAUUACAAAAGAAAAUAUAUAAAAGUAAAAAAAAAUAGAUGAUAUUGAGAUGGAUCAUACUUCCAAGAGAUGUCUCCGGCCACCAUCCAAUGUCCAUCUCUAUCUAAAAACUUCAACGUAUGAUGAUUCCCAAAAACAGAGCUAUUUCCCUCGCCGUCUACUAGAUCGAAUCAAAGAAAGUCUAUUAGUACUAAAAACAAUAUUUUUGUGUUUUAUUGGUUAACAGAUUUUAAUUGAUUUGGGAAUUUAAGUUUGUAGAGCAGAUCACAGCAGCCAAAUAGAAGACAAUAAUGUUUUUGAGCAAGUGAUUUAGAUUUUUUUUGUGUUAUUAGUCCAAUGGUCGUGCAUUGCAUUAAAACCCUCCCUGAAUUCAUUUAUAGUAUUUUGAUGUCAUUAAAAUUUAGAUAACAGUUUUGGAAAAACAAAACAUGGAAAUGAAGUAUUUUAUAAUUUUCUUCAAUUUAAAACAAUUUUUUAAAAAGUUAUUUACAUCUAAUUGCUGUAUCAAACAUAUCAGACAGAGCGGCUGCAAGACUUUCGUAGUUAUUAAACGCGAAGAUAUUGAUUUUCCUCCCUAUGUAGUUACCCUCUUUGUAAACCUUUACAUAGCGAGAUUGAGAUGAUGACGAGUUCAUUGAUGCGAUGCGACCGACGUUGAUUCGAUCGAUUGAUAUUAACCCAAAGUUAUAUGUGAUUCUACCAUUUAUAUUCUUAAUUUAUAAUUAUUACUGAUUCCACGUUUCAAUUUAUAUAAAUAUUUAGGUGUUUGUAUUAACUCCAAAUAAAUAUGUAUAGUUAUGUUUUUAUACAACAAUUAGUAUCAUAUUAUCUAACUGUUGAUUACGGAUUAAUUAUGAAAACAACUAAAAGAGAAAGAUAUCUAUCAACUAAAAAAGUAAUAGAAAAAUUAUUAAUUACAAAGAGAUACUGCAUUUUUUACAUUAUAAAUUAAAUUUUAUAUUAAUCGUGAUCAUUUAGUUCUCUUAUUAAAUAUGAAGUGUAUAAUCUAUUUAAGUAUAGGAUAUGAUUUGAUUAAAUGGAAAACAAGACAUUAAAGUAUAUAUAUGUGUAUAUAAUUGAUUUAGAAAUAUAAUAUGCUUACUUAAAUUCGGACAUAUAUUUUAUGGUGAUAAACUUUAAUUGUAGUUCGAUGGAAAUAUUUUCUGAUAAAUAGUUUGAUAGACAUAGUUAUCAGCAAUAAAUUUAUACUGUUUCCGUUGACUUAAAAAUAUAACAUAUUUGAGUUAAAAAAACAAAAAAUAUAACAUAUUUAACAUAUUCGUUUUUUUUUGUCUCACUGUUGAUAUAUAUAUAUAUAUAUAUAUCUCAAUUAUUGGUUUUUUUGUGAUCAUUUGUAUUUUUUAUUUAGACUGAAAGAUAUGUUUCAGAAUGAUGACAACAAUGUUAUACCUAACCAUAUAUAGAUUUAAAUGUUGUUUCAGCUAUAACAUAUAUUUAUUUUAAAAAUCAGCGAGCCUUUAUUUACGUUUUUUUUUAUCGAAGAUAGAUUAAAACUACAAUUUAGAAAUUAGAGUAAAAUGAGUAAUUUAAACAAAAACUUGCAAAUCAACAAAGUUCUUAAAUAACUGAUUGUCAGGCGAAAAUAAGAAGCAAAAAACGUGAUAUAUAGUCCCCAAAACAAGAGAAUUGGUUAGAAGGGGUUGAUUGUGAUGAAUUAGGAGUCAUUCAUUAUAGCAACGACUUCGUUCGAUCGGUCGUGGAGUCAGAGUCAGAGUCAACUAUACUUGUGAAUCGUAACAUGGAUCUUAAUAUAUAAAGAUAGUUUUAGAAGAAAACAACAAGAUCAUAAAACUAUUAAAAACAAUCGGGAUACUUCUCGUUAGAGAAUCUACACAUCACCGAAAAAAGAAGAGAAAACAGAAAGAAAAUUAAAGAGAAAAUACGAAGAAGAAAGGCGUAGCCUUCCCUUUGCCUCUGUUGACUUGCCGUUUGUAUCCUUUUCCUCUGUUAACCAGAACCAGAGAAAGAUAACACGGAACCGAGCUAACUUCCAUUAGCCGUAGCUCGAAAGCUUCUUAACGUCGUCGUCUUCUUUUUCGGUGUCUUCCUCCAUAUCUCUUUCUCUUCCUUAGAUUAUUUUUAACAAGGAGAGUUAACUGUUAGUGUUUGCUUUAGUCUUCUACGUCUAUCUUCACCCCAUUUAUAAUGCUUCAUCUGGUCCCAUAUCCAAACUUUAUCUUUAGAAUAUAUUAUUCUUAAUUAUUGUUUAAACAAUGUUUUUAACAUGAUAUAUGUCUUGCUAAGUUUUAUUUUUCAGUCCAUGGAAUCUUUUUGAAAGUUAUACCUAACGUCGG